rnacentral:piRNA from 1 species
UUGCCUUUCACAGGAGCGAUGGGCAA